ensembl:lncRNA CRIM1-DT CRIM1 divergent transcript
AUUAAUUAAGUGCUUUAAACGGUCUUGGUAAAUAUUCCGCGGGAGCUGGGGAGGACCGUUGGGAUGGCUGUAGCUUGAGUUGAAUUUUAACUGUCCUCAUUCUGGGUUUUGUCGCUCUGCUUUCUGUGCCAAGGUGCUGUGUUACGGGAGAGAGUGACUGGAAAGUAACAAAGCUGAAUCUUUCUCCCUGGAGUAAGGCCGAAGACUGGAUUACUACACGCCUAGACGUGACACUACACCCAUAGAUCUCAUGCAUCAUUAAUGCCAUAUGACAUUGCCAUUUUCUUUCUCAGUUCACGGACAAAAGUGGUGGGUUUUCAUUGUCUUCACUGAUUGUCAAUGCAUUAAUAAAGAAGAUGUGUGGUACAUA